CCCAAAUCCUGUCGAAUCAAAUCCCAAAUUCAAGGUAAGGGUUUCUGAUUUUCGAUGGGGCCAUACAAGUUGUCGCACAAGCUACCGCUAAAUGCUCUGAUUAUAUCUUUCAAGCUCUCAAACCAAGCGAGUCAACCACUGCCAGCACUCUUGUUGCUUAGGUUGGUUUUGCAACUUGCUACCGCUCUGUGAUUAGCUUGGGUUGAUGAGGUAUGCUUCGGAAAGCUAAAAAGGAAGAUGGUGGUAUUGCCGAUUUGGGGUUUUAGUGACUAAUCAGACUUGUCCAAGUUGGGGUUUUGCCGAAAUUCAAUGAUUUUGAUAUACUUGUGGCCAACCCUAGAAAACAAAAAUUAUACAUCCAAGUCAACGAUUGGAUUCGCAGACUUAACUAUUGGUACAAGAGAGGCGGAAGUGACGCAGCUGAGGGUCGAGGAUAAGCAAAUGAUGGCGUAGCUGAGGGCCCAGGGCGAUGAGAUGAAGACCUGUGUCGGGAGGGUGCAAGAACUUGUACAAGCCAUACAGAUGUCGAGCCUCCAAAUCUCGCUACCAGCACCUCAUCUUACUCCACCUUCGACCUUAAAGCCACCUUGCCCUGCCGAUACCCAGUAGCCUGAUGUAUUAAACUUAGUCCACUUGUAGUUUUUUCUUUUUGUUUGGACAUCUUGUAUGUACAUUUUCAUAUAUUUUAUAAUUAAAUAUUUUUGCUUGGUUA
rnacentral:sRNA from 1 species